CUCGACGGCAAGCUCAUCCCCGGCACCGCGCAGCCUAGUGGCGGCGCAAAUAAAUCGCUCUCGACGGCCCGCGUCCACGCCACGGCCUCCCUCAACUCCGUGUCCCUCACGUGUCGCGCUCAGUCGCCCGUCAUCAGGCACCGGCCUAUCGAAGACACGUGGCAACUUGAAAUAUAUUAUCCUCCACAGGUGGAAGUUCGUCUUGGGUCAUCGUUGAGUCCCGAAAACAUACGUGAAGGCAGCGACGUAUACUUCGAGUGUGUCAUCAGGUCCAAUCCGAAGAUCUACAAGAUCGAGUGGUUCCAUAACAACUCGUCGGUGCAGCACAACGUG